rnacentral:rRNA from 1 species
GACGAACGCUGGCGGCGUGCUUAACACAUGCAAGUCGAACGGAAAGGCCCUGCUUUUGUGGGGUGCUCGAGUGGCGAACGGGUGAGUAACACGUGAGUAACCUGCCCUUGACUAUGGGAUAACUUCAGGAAACUGGGGCUAAUACCGGAUAGGAGCUCCUGCUGCAUGGUGGGGGUUGGAAAGUUUCGGCGGUUGGGGAUGGACUCGCGGCGUAUCAGCUUGGUGGUGGGGUAGUGGCUUACCAAUGCUUUGACGGGUAGCCGGCCUGAGAGGGUGACCGGCCACAUUGGGACUGAGAUACGGCCCAGACUCCUACGGGAGGCAGCAGUGGAGAAUAUUGCACAAUGGGCGGAAGCCUGAUGCAGCAACGCCGCGUGCGGGAUGACGGCCUUCGGGUUGUAAACCGCUUUCGCCUGUGACGAAGCGUGAGUGACGGUAAUGGGUAAAGAAGCACCGGCUAACUACGUG